rnacentral:rRNA from 1 species
UUCUCCCCGAAAGCUAUUUAGGUAGCGCCUCGUGAAUUCAUCUCCGGGGGUAGAGCACUGUUUCGGCAAGGGGGUCAUCCCGACUUACCAACCCGAUGCAAACUACGAAUACCGGAGAAUGUUAUCACGGGAGACACACGGCGGGUGCUAACGUCCGUCGUGAAGAGGGAAACAACCCAGACCGCCAGCUAAGGUCCCAAAGUCAUGGUUAAGUGGGAAACGAUGUGGGAAGGCCCAGACAGCCAGGAUGUUGGCUUAGAAGCAGCCAUCAUUUAAAGAAAGCGUAAUAGCUCACUGGUCGAGUCGGCCUGCGCGGAAGAUGUAACGGGGCUAAACCAUGCACCGAAGCUGCGGCAGCGACGCUGAUGCGUUGUUGGGUAGGGGAGCGUUCUGUAAGCCUGCGAAGGUGUGCUGUGAGGCAUGCUGGAGGUAUCAGAAGUGCGAAUGCUGACAUAAGUAACGAUAAAGCGGGUGAAAAGCCCGCUCGCCGGAAGACCAAGGGUUCCUGUCCAACGUUAAUCGGGGCAGGGUGAGUCGACCCCUAAGGCGAGGCCGAAAGGCGUAGUCGAUGGGAAACAGGUUAAUAUUCCUGUACUUGGUGUUACUGCGAAGGGGGGACGGAGAAGGCUAUGUUGGCCGGGCGACGGUUGUCCCGGUUUAAGCGUGUAGGCUGGUUUUCCAGGCAAAUCCGGAAAAUCAAGGCUGAGGCGUGAUGACGAGGCACUACGGUGCUGAAGCAACAAAUGCCCUGCUUCCAGGAAAAGCCUCUAAGCAUCAGGUAACAUCAAAUCGUACCCCAAACCGACACAGGUGGUCAGGUAGAGAAUACCAAGGCGCUUGAGAGAACUCGGGUGAAGGAACUAGGCAAAAUGGUGCCGUAACUUCGGGAGAAGGCACGCUGAUAUGUAGGUGAAGUCCCUCGCGGAUGGAGCUGAAAUCAGUCGAAGAUACCAGCUGGCUGCAACUGUUUAUUAAAAACACAGCACUGUGCAAACACGAAAGUGGACGUAUACGGUGUGACGCCUGCCCGGUGCCGGAAGGUUAAUUGAUGGGGUUAGCGCAAGCGAAGCUCUUGAUCGAAGCCCCGGUAAACGGCGGCCGUAACUAUAACGGUCCUAAGGUAGCGAAAUUCCUUGUCGGGUAAGUUCCGACCUGCACGAAUGGCGUAAUGAUGGCCAGGCUGUCUCCACCCGAGACUCAGUGAAAUUGAACUCGCUGUGAAGAUGCAGUGUACCCGCGGCAAGACGGAAAGACCCCGUGAACCUUUACUAUAGCUUGACACUGAACAUUGAGCCUUGAUGUGUAGGAUAGGUGGGAGGCUUUGAAGUGUGGACGCCAGUCUGCAUGGAGCCGACCUUGAAAUACCACCCUU